GAUGAACGCUGGCGGCGUGCCUAAUACAUGCAAGUCGAGCGAAUGGAUUAAGAGCUUGCUCUUAUGAAGUUAGCGGCGGACGGGUGAGUAACACGUGGGUAACCUGCCCAUAAGACUGGGAUAACUCCGGGAAACCGGGGCUAAUACCGGAUAACAUUUUGAACCGCCUGGUUCGAAAUUGAAAGGCGGCUUCGGCUGUCACUUAUGGAUGGACCCGCGUCGCAUUAGCUAGUUGGUGAGGUAACGGCUAACCAAGGCAACCAUGCGUAGCCGACCUGAGAGGGUGAUCGGCCACACUGGGACUGAGACACGGCCCAGACUCCUACGGGAGGCAGCAGUAGGGAAUCUUCCGCAAUGGACGAAAGUCUGACGGAGCAACGCCGCGUGAGUGAUGAAGGCUUUCGGGUCGUAAAACUCUGUUGUUAGGGAAGAACAAGUGCUAGUUGAAUAAGCUGGCACCUUGACGGUACCUAACCAGAAAGCCACGGCUAACUACGUGCCAGCCGCCGCCGUAA
rnacentral:rRNA from 1 species